rnacentral:rRNA from 1 species
UACGGAGGGUGCAAGCGUUAUCCGGAUUACUGGGCGUAAAGGGCGCGUAGGCGGCCACCGCAAGUCGACUGUGAAAUCUCCGGGCUUAACCCGGAAAGGUCAGCCGAUACUGCGGGGCUAGAGUGCAGAAGGGGCAACUGGAAUUCUCGGUGUAGCGGUGAAAUGCGUAGAUAUCGAGAGGAACACCUGCGGCGAAGGCGGGUUGCUGGGCUGACACUGACGCUGAUGCGCGAAAGCUAGGGGAGCGAACGGG